AGGCACAGUGAACACCCAAGGAUGCUACUAUGGCUCCCCCUGGUCUCGUGUAUCUGUGCUAGAGUAAAUCUGAUCUGUACCUCUGCAUUACGAGAGCAUGUCCUCUCCUACAUGUAUUCAGCGGGUCAGAAUAAAC
rnacentral:snoRNA from 1 species